GUCCACGCCGUAAACUAUGGAAGCUAGCCGUUGGGAGGUUUACCUCUCAGUGGCGCAGCUAACGCAUUAAGCUUCCCGCCUGGGGAGUACGGUCGCAAGAUUAAAAACUCAAAAGGAAUUGACGGGGGCCCGCACAAAGCGGUGGAGCAUGUGGUUUAAUUCGAAGCAACGCGAAGAACCUUACCAGCCCCUUGACAUGGCAGGACGGUUUCCAGAGAUGGAUUCCUUCACUUCGGUGACUUGCACACAGGUGCUGCAUGGCUGUCGU
rnacentral:rRNA from 1 species